UACGGAGGGGGCUAGCGUUGUUCGGAAUUACUGGGCGUAAAGCGCACGUAGGCGGUGGUGCGUGUCAGAUGUGAAAGCCCUGGGCUUAACCUAGGAAUUGCAUUUGAAACUGCGCCGCUAGAGACCGGAAGAGGGUAGUGGAAUUCCCAGUGUAGAGGUGAAAUUCGUAGAUAUUGGGAAGAACACCAGUGGCGAAGGCGGCUACCUGGUCCGGUACUGACGCUGAGGUGCGAAAGCGUGGGGAGCAAACAGG
rnacentral:rRNA from 1 species